GUUGUUGUGGUGUAGUGGUUAUCACGUCAGUUUUACACACUGAAGGUCUCCUGUUCAUUCCUGGGCAACAACA
rfam:Ipomoea nil DNA, scaffold: scaffold1074, cultivar: Tokyo-kokei standard.